AAAGAAUGUUGGAUUUUUCUAAACUCUUCAUAAACAUUUCGCUAUCAUCACUAGUUCUCCACAAACCUACAUAUCCUAAUCUAUCGAUGAACACGAAAAAUUGCUCGAAAUAAAGUAGGCAAAAGGAGUAAAAACAUCACCAGAUGGAAAUUCGAUGCAGUUGAGUUGGUUUUGUCUUAAAACAUCUUGAAGAGCAGACCACCGUGGGUGGCGAAGAAAGGAGCGAAAACGAGUGACUCCACAGCCAUCAGCUUGAUAAGAAUGUUCAAUGAUGGUCCAGAUGUAUCCUUGAGGGGGUCACCAACAGUGUCACCAAUGACAGCAGCCUUGUGUGGAUCGGAUCCCUUGGGACCAAGAGUUUUCGCGUGUUCUGAAGUUCCAGCCUCGAUGUACUUCUUGGCGUUGUCCCAAGCACCACCGGUGUUUGAUGCAGAAAUGGCAAUCUGUACACCAGAGACGAGAGAUCCUGCAAGAACACCAGAAAGUGUUUCGACGCCAAACAAGAUACCAACAAUCAAUGGAGUGAGCAUGACGAGGGCACCAGGUGGAAUCAUCUCCUUGAUCGAUGCAUCUGUGGAGAUCUUGACACAGGUGGCAUAGUCAGGCUUGGCAGUUCCUUCCAUGAGACCAGGGAUGGUGUUGAAUUGC
rnacentral:misc_RNA from 1 species